UCAGUUGUAGUUGGAUCGGCGAGAGAACAUCUCGAUUCUUGACCAAAUGUAGUAGUUUCUUAUGCCGGCACUAUUCUCGAAUUGGAAUGUAGCAGCUGAUAUAAUGAACAACCUCCCUAUACACCCACAACUCUUGUGUUGGAGUUGCAGACUGUGAUUACGAGAGGCUGCGUGUGACCAGGCUUUGAAUUUUCAUUUCGGAUGAUGUAUCAGAUAACGAAUUAAUAAAGAAUUUGUAGAAAAGUUAAGGAUUCAAAGGAGGCGACGGUUUUCAUACUACUCAUGUAUAUUUACCUCAAGACAAGAAAAAUAUUUUCACCUUUUCCGCUGUAUCAAACAACCCUCAAGGAACUACCUUUCUGGUGGAAAAUGUGCUCCAGACAUGGCUCAACAAGUUCUUCGUCUCAAAACCAUGUGA